rnacentral:rRNA from 1 species
AUUGAACGCUGGCGGCAUGCCUUACACAUGCAAGUCGAACGGUAACAGGUCUUCGGAUGCUGACGAGUGGCGAACGGGUGAGUAAUACAUCGGAACGUGCCUAGUAGUGGGGGAUAACUACUCGAAAGAGUGGCUAAUACCGCAUGAGAUCUACGGAUGAAAGCAGGGGAUCGCAAGACCUUGUGCUACUAGAGCGGCCGAUGGCAGAUUAGGUAGUUGGUGGGAUAAAAGCUUACCAAGCCGACGAUCUGUAGCUGGUCUGAGAGGACGAUCAGCCACACUGGGAAUGAGACACGGCCCAGACUCCUACGGGAGGCAGCAGUGGGGAAUUUUGGACAAUGGGCGCAAGCCUGAUCCAGCAAUGCCGCGUGCAGGAUGAAGGCCUUCGGGUUGUAAACUGCUUUUGUACGGAACGAAAGGCCCUGGGUUAAUACCCUGGGGUCAUGACGGUACCGUAAGAAUAAGCACCGGCUAACUACGUGCCAGCCGCCGCGGUAAGAC